UGAAAAGGUGUCACGCGUGAGGACUCGCCUGAGGACAGACAUCACCAACUUUCAUCAUCCAUCUGCAGACAAGGCAAUUGAGGUAGCUUCAACUGCAGUGGAUGUGAGGACAGCUUUGCAGGUUCCUGCAUCUCCAAGACUGAUCGUCCUAGGUGAUGUUCUCUCCACGUGCCGUGUAUGGAGGGCUAGGCGGUCAUGGGUCCACACCAGCAUAUCGUGGCUGGACUGGCGGCACUCUUCACGUCCUAUGUGCUGAACCUGGUUUACCAACAGGAGGCCUCAAACGCACUGCAGUUCAUUCAAAGGUGUUUUGUUGGGAUAAACCUAGCAACGGGCACCAAGGGAACAAGCCAUCAGAAGCGAAGCGGAGUGAACACACG